AGAGGUACGGAACAACUCAGGGAAACUUGAGCUAAUACCGUAUAUGCUCUUGCGAGGAAAGAUUUAUCGCCUUUAGACGGGCCCGCGUCGGAUUAGCUAGUUGGUGGGGUAAUGGCCUACCAAGGCGACGAUCCGUAGCUGAUCUGAGAGGAUGAUCAGCCACACUGGGACUGAGACACGGCCCAGACUCCUACGGGAGGCAGCAGUGGGGAAUCUUGGACAAUGGGCGCAAGCCUGAUCCAGCCAUGCCGCGUGAGUGAAGAAGGCCUUCGGGUUGUAAAGCUCUUUUGUCAGGGACGAUAAUGACGGUACCUGAAGAAUAAGCCCCGGCAAACUUCGUGCCAGCAGCCGCGGUAAUACGAAGGGGGCUAGCGUUGUUCGGAAUUACUGGGCGUAAAGCGCACGUAGGCUGACAUUUAAGUCAGGGGUGAAAUCCCGAGGCUCAACCUCGGAACUGCCCUUGAUACUGGGUGUCUCGAGUCCGGAAGAGGUUAGUGGGAUUCCCAGUGUAGAGGUGAAAUUCGUAGAUAUUGGGAAGAACACCAGUGGCGAAGGCGGCUAACUGGUCCGGUACUGACGCUGAGGUGCGAAAGCGUGGGGAGCACACAGGAUUAGAUACCCUGGUAGUCCACGCCGUAAACUAUGGGUGCUAGCCGUUGGAAAGCUUGCUUUUCAGUGGCGCAGCUAACGCAUUAAGCAUCCCGCCUGGGGAGUACGGUCGCAAGAUUAAAACUCAAAGGAAUUGACGG
rnacentral:rRNA from 1 species